rnacentral:rRNA from 1 species
GGAUCCAGACUUUGAUUCUGGCUCAGGAUGAACGCUAGCUACAGGCUUAACACAUGCAAGUCGAGGGGAAACGAUAUUGGAAGCUUGCUUCUGAUAGGCGUCGACCGGCGCACGGGUGAGUAACGCGUAUCCAACCUGCCCACCACUUGGGGAUAACCUUGCGAAAGUAAGACUAAUACCCAAUGAUAUCUCUAGAAGACAUCUGAAAGGGAUUAAAGAUUUAUCGGUGAUGGAUGGGGAUGCGUCUGAUUAGCUUGUUGGCGGGGUAACGGCCCACCAAGGCGACGAUCAGUAGGGGUUCUGAGAGGAAGGUCCCCCACAUUGGAACUGAGACACGGUCCAAACUCCUACGGGAGGCAGCAGUGAGGAAUAUUGGUCAAUGGGCGAGAGCCUGAACCAGCCAAGUAGCGUGCAGGAAGACGGCCCUAUGGGUUGUAAACUGCUUUUAUAAGGGAAUAAAGUGAGUCUCGUGAGACUUUUUGCAUGUACCUUAUGAAUAAGGACCGGCUAAUUCCGUGCCAGCAGCCGCGGUAAUACGGAAGGUCCGGGCGUUAUCCGGAUUUAUUGGGUUUAAAGGGAGCGUAGGCCGGAGAUUAAGCGUGUUGUGAAAUGUAGACGCUCAACGUCUGCACUGCAGCGCGAACUGGUUUCCUUGAGUACGCACAAAGUGGGCGGAAUCCGUGGUGUAGCGGUGAAAUGCUUAGAUAUCACGAAGAACUCCGAUUGCGAAGGCAGCUCACUGGAGCGCAACUGACGCUGAAGCUCGAAAGUGCGGGUAUCGAACAGGAUUAGAUACCCUGGUAGUCCGCACGGUAAACGAUGGAUGCCCGCUGUUGGUCUGAAUAGGUCAGCGGCCAAGCGAAAGCAUUAAGCAUCCCACCUGGGGAGUACGCCGGCAACGGUGCAACUCAAAGGAAUUGACGG